CCGUGCUCCACGGGGAAUUGCAAUCCCUUGACCCGAAGUUUAUGCGGGGUGCAGAGCCUGUUGUGAGGGUCUGGCAGAUAAUGUUAAUAAAUAUACUGUUGUUGACGUUUAAGGAUAUGGCGGCGUAAAACUCCGAACCGUGUCAGGAUGGAAACAUAGCAGCACUAAGGUGACCUUUACGGGUGUUGUAUUUUUAAAAAGAGAUAGUGUAUUUAAAGGCUUUAUCCGGCAAAUUCGAUAGACAGUGGCACGG
rfam:Brachyspira sp. CAG:484 genomic scaffold, scf240